rnacentral:tRNA from 1 species
GAGUCCUUGCCCGAGUGGUUAAUGGGGACGGAUUGUAAAUCCGUUAGCUAUGCUUACGCUGGUUCGAAUCCAGCAGGCCUCA